rnacentral:hammerhead_ribozyme from 1 species
GCUCUUCUGAAGAGUCCCACAAUAGAACGAAACGGUUGUCCAGUGC